CUAGGGUAGUGUAAUGGUUUGAAUACUGGACUACGACUCUGGAGACAGGGUUGAAAUCCCUGCUCAGA